UACGUAGGGGGCAAGCGUUGUCCGGAUUUAUUGGGCGUAAAGCGCACGCAGGCGGUCUCUUAAGUUUCGAGUGACAGGUGGUGGCUCAACUGCCACAGGCCUCGGAAAACUGGGAGACUUGAGGACUUCAGAGGGAUGCGGAAUUCCCGGUGUAGCGGUGAAAUGCGCAGAUAUCAGGAGGAACACCGGUGGCGAAGGCGGAUCUCUGGGCCUUACCUGACGCUCAGGCGCGAAAGCUAGGGGAGCGAACUGG
rnacentral:rRNA from 1 species